UGUACACGAUCAAAUGGGCAGUUAUUACAUAAAGUUUCCUCAUUUUGGCUUUUUUAAUUUGAUUCACAGAUCCAUAUAUAAAGCUAAUCCCAUCACCGAGUCAUAUUACCACUAUUCAUUCUCGUGUAUCUCUAUCUCUCUCUGUUUGUGCUUCUCUCUAACUUUUUUUGCAGAGAUCAAUGUUGAAGACCCGAGGAGCAGGUUCGUCCAAGAAUGCCGACAAGGGAACCCCGACAGACCUCACCUAGAAAGGAUCUCUCUCCAAGAUCAAAGGGAGAAACACGACGAUGAAUCCUAGAGAAAGGGCCUCGUAAUUGCAUAAUUCCACCAUUAACCGCCCUUCUACUGGAAGUUUCUUAAAUUCCAGCCUCGAAGUUGCAGAUUGAGAAAACUUCGACUGAGUCAGAAGUCUCUUAUCCUGAAUCCCACAGAUUUGAUCAUGAGGAACAGGUUCUAGAUACUAAGAAAUCCAAGGAUGGGAUCUAUACCACCGACUCCUCAAAGACUGCGUCUGAUUCAUCUCCUUUGCCUGAUGUUCUUGUGAAGAAAGUGGUGGCCAAAUCUAUUGCUGUGAAGGUGUCCAAAUCCAUUGCUGAGAAGCUUUACUCUUCAUCCAAAUCCAAAAAGGCUACCAAGACAACUUCCUCAACCUCUUUGGACUUAGUAAAUCCAACACCAAAGGUCUCUCGUCUUCGAAAAGUGCCUCCGCCCUGUUCGUCCUCAGAAAAAGAAGGUGAUGAGUCUGCCACUGAAUCUAAUUUUCUUGAAUUUGAUUAUGAAGAAGAAGACUCUACUGUGGAGUUGAAUGCUCAUAUUUUUUAUUUUGAGUUUGAUCAUUUAGAGGAAAUGGUUGACCUUCAUGUUGUUACAUCUCCAAAAGUGGUAAAAAGGGGCCCUAUCCUAUUCUUGUUGUGAAAUUGACACCAUUGAAGGAACUAUCGGCAUCCAAGUCUGUUGGUAAAAAGCCCAUGACUAAAAUUUCCCCAAAACAAAUCAAUUGAACUUGGUGACCCACUCCUCUCCAGAGUCUCUACCCAAGGUUGGCACAUGACUUCCGGUGAAUCUGUCUAAGGUGAUCAUGUAUUAGAUUCUAUCUCUGAUCAAAGGACAACAAAAGUCUCAAUUUCUGGUGUUUCCUAGUAUCAUAUACAAAAUCCUAUCUUCAAAACAUGCUCUCAAAUUUGCUAAUGAAACGACGGUAGCUAUUUAGAAAGGCAAUACCUACAAGGUAAAAGCGGAAACUACCCAAGGCUCUUCCAAGCGUGUCAAUCCUGCUGCUCUUACAAUCAAAUCCACUGACGGGUUAGGCGGCUCUGCGGAUGUUCCUGCCUGUGAGUCUAAACUGUCUGCCUUGAAGGCCACCAUUGGAAUCAUUCAAUUCAACCUGACUACCUUCCUGGAGAAAAUCGCUGGCCUUGCUAAGACUCAGCAACUUCUUCUUGACAAUGUGCUCAUUCUUUGUGCCACUUCAUCAAAGACAAAGAAGUAGUCGGUCUCUCUUUCAUUGUUUUUGAGAUUUUUGUUGUUGGUUUAAGACUUUGUUUAUGUUUUGAAGUUUUAUGCUUUAUUUUGAAACUAUGGUUUAUACUUUGGGCCUUUGUUAGUAAAAAAGGGGGAGUAUUAUGGUUGUUUUUAAUGUUUUUUUUUUUCUGUUAUUUUGGACAUCUUUCAAAGGGGGAGAAAUUGAAUUUUCAGUUUGAUAUUUUGAUAUAUCUCUUCCUUUUUCUUAUUUGUGAUAUUGCCUAACCAUUUUAUGCACGGGGAUUUUUGGUUAAUUUUUUCAAGUCCAAACUAACACUUUUUGAUGAGGCUGAUUGAGUAUUAUAAAAAAAAGCUUCUGUUUAUAAAGUUGCCAAAUGGGGAGAUUGUAAAAUCCAUAAGUUGGAAAACUUAUAUUUGGCAUUUUUUAUAUUCCUCCAUUCAUUUUAUGGAAAUCUCACAAAGUCAAUUUUCUUUUUAAUUAAAGAUUUUUUAUGGAAAUAAAACAUCUUUGGUUAUUUCUUUAAAUAGUGUGAUUUCUAUUAUGUCUUUUAUAUCACAUUUCAUAAAUCAAUUAUGUAUAUUUCUGUUUGAUUUUUAUGAAUUGAUUAUCUUAAAUUCCCUUGUGAUUUUCAUAUCAAAGGAUGGUGGCUUGUUUCCCUUUCUUAGUAUGUCCAGGGAUAUUCUUCCCUGAUUUUGUGAUCUGCAAAAGAAGGUCUUCUACCUGCUAUAAAUAGGAGUCUUUCUAGCAAGGGAGAUUCACUUCUUCACAGUCCAUAUUGUUUUAUUAUUAUUGAAGAGUGAGAUUUGUAUUUGUGUGAGAGUAAGAGUGGAAAUACUUAGUCUUGUGUUGUAGUGCAUGUUGCAUGUUAUAUUGAUACACUUUAGGAUUUAAGGUGUAAUUUCCAUUGUGGAUACUUAUACAGUUGAAUGUGUGGUCCUUGAUAAUGAAGGAAACAAUCUGUUAAAAGGUCUUCGCUCAAUUGAUAAUUGUUACACUU